GAGGGCCCGGGAUCCGACAUCCGGUCCGGGACUCGCUGAACCUUCGUCGAUACGAUGGAAAAUUAUCGCCGUUGCCGCAGUGACGACUGUUUGAACGAAAACAACACGAGAUUUAUAGCUGGUUAGAAAUGCUUAUUGAACACGUAAACAAAUCAACUGUUGCUCCGUGGUUACGUUCGCCGGAAAAAUUUACGAGCGCCCGCCAACCGGGUAAAUAUCAUUGCGGUGCUUUUGACGAUACUAGAAAUUUUUUUGAUUUUGUAAGAAACACGAUUGCAGCAUUUACCUUUCCUCUGUGAUAAUUAUCAAACCGCGCAUCAUAAUGAUAUCAUCCAUGGCAGUCAACAUCAACAGAAUGGUGACCGAUCGGCCGAUAACCAGGUACACCGAUCGGCCNGGUUAGCAAUGCUUAUUGAACACGUAAACAAAUCAACUGUUGCUCCGUGGUUACGUUCGCCGG